UGCAGCUUUGUCAAAUUCAGUGCUUCCUCUACCAUGGACUGCACUGGCCAAAAUGGCUGCCACAGUGAAACUAUGGUUCAUGGGCCUCACAUUCAUUUUCCAUGGAUGUUGGGGAUAAAUUUGUACUAUAGACAGUU
rnacentral:snoRNA from 1 species